GGGAAUAACUCAACGGUAGAGUGUCAGCUUCCCAAGCUGAAGGUUGCGGGUUCAAGUCCCGUUUCCC
rnacentral:tRNA from 2 species